CCUACGGGAGGCAGCAGUGAGGAAUAUUGGUCAAUGGGCGCGAGCCUGAACCAGCCAAGUAGCGUGAAGGAUGACUGCCCUACGGGUUGUAAACUUCUUUUAUAAAGGAAUAAAGUGAGGCACGUGUGCCUUUUUGUAUGUACUUUAUGAAUAAGGAUCGGCUAACUCGGUGCCAGCAGCCGCGGUAAUACGGAGGAUCCGAGCGUUAUCCGGAUUUAUUGUGUUUAAAGGGAGCGUAGAUGGGUUGUUAAGUAAGUUGUGAAAGUUUGCGGCUCAAGCGUAAAAUUGCAAUUGAUACUGGCAGUCUUGAGUACAGUUGAGGUAGGAGGAAUGCGUGGUGUAGCGGUGAAAUGCUUAGAUAUCACGAAGAACUCCGAUUGCGAAGGCAGCUUACUAAACUGCGACUGACAUUGAUGCUCGAAAGCGUGGGUAUCAAACAGGAUUAGAUACCCUGGUAGUC
rnacentral:rRNA from 1 species